CAAUGGCGGGCGCCCCUCCUCCAGCCUCGCUGCCGCCUUGCAGUUUGAUCUGAGACUGCUGUGCUAGCAAUCAGGGAGACUCCGUGGGCGUAGGACCCUCCGAGCCAGGUGUGGGAUAUAAUCUCGUGGUGCGCCGUUUUUUUAAGCCCGUCGGAAAAGCGCAGUAUUCGGGUGGGAGUGACCUGACUUUCCAGGUGCCGGCCGUCACCCCUUUCUUUGACUCGGAAAGGGAACUCCCUGACCCCUUGCGCUUCCCAAGUGAGGCAAUGCCUCGCCCUGCUUCGGCUCACGCACGGUGCGCGCACCCACUGACCUGCGCCCACUGUCUGGCACUCCCUAGAGAGAUGAACCCGGUACCUCAGAUGGAAAUGCAGAAAUCACCGUCUUCUGCGUCGCUCACGCUGGGAGCUGUAGACCGGAGCUGUUCCUAUUCGGCCAUCUUGGCUCCUUAUUCUCAUUACCUUCUUGAGUUGUGGCUCAGACACUACAACAGAGCUCCGUCACCUCUUUCUAAAAGCUGGGAAAUGGUUAUUGUCAACGCCAGCCCCAUUUUGGAGGCACCUGGCUGCAGGGGACCACAGCUAGCUGGGUGCGGUGGCUCAGGACUGUAAUUCCAGCUACAUGAGAGGAUUGCUUGAGGCCAGGAGUUUGAGACCAGCCUGAACAACAUAAUAGACUGGGAGCUCCAUGAGGUCUGAGACAACCUGAAGAUGCCCAGCUCAGCAGAGACUGGCUACGGCAAUCACUCAGUAACUGUUUGUUGAAUUGGACAUAAUAGAAGAGUUGAAGAAUUUUAAACAAGUCACCAUCAGUCCAGUGGAUUCCUCAAAGCAAACCUGGAAAUCUCGGCAUGAGUUGGAUUUAAGGCAGUACAUUUUCAGCUCCUGAAAAUUUGAACAGUUUCUCAAGAGAACAACUUGAAACAGAAAGGCAAGGAUGUAGAUGUGGUUGUAGAAGAUGAUGUCUGCGGCCACCAAACUGUCCACUGUGAAGAUAAACCAUGCAUGUUUAGUAGGCAGUGGCUCCUCUUCCCUGUGGGGAGUCCCACUGCUUCCCUGGCCUGGGUGUUCUCUGCCGGUAGAUGUUAUUGACAAAAUUAGCAAAGUCCUCUGAUUCUGAGAAUUAGAGUUUAUGAUAGCUCUAGAUUGCCUCUGCCAUGCUAUUUAAAGUCCUGCUUUAUUGUCUGACAUGAGUUCGGCAUCUAUGAGGACUUGUCCAGUGCAAAGUACAAUCUCCACUGAAAGAUAUCACCAGCACAUCUUGUCACUGUGCUGUAGCAAGCUGGGCAGUACAAUGAUGUUGGCAGGAUCCUGUUUAGGUGGAGGAUGGCCACCUGGGCAUCAAGAAUCUUCUACCUUGAUUCCACAUUGAUUCCCCAAAGUGGGCUUCAGACAGCUCUUCACUUACAUCUUCUGAUUAAAGCAGCAGACAGGGUCCCAGCUAGAGAAAAGUUCUGGGAGCAGGAGAGGUGUUGGUGGCUUUAAAACCAGGGGUGAAGAUUGAAUUAGGAGGUUAGGCAGGAGUAGGAUCAAAGACUUAGAAAAUGCUUGUUUCCUCCUAUUAUUCUUAUGAGAGCUGAUACGGGGCUUUCAGUUUUGGGGGAGAGCCUUGGAAGAGAAUGAGGGAAUUUAAUCAACUAGCGGGACCUUUCCAACUUACAUUUCCCAGUGUUUGUUGGAUGAUACGUUUGCCUAAUAAGUUAAAGCUUCCAAAAAUAGAAAGGAAAGCUUGGUGACACUAAGCUCUGGCAUGCUGUCAUCUUCUGGUUAGGGGUCUUGUGCUUCUGUUUUUCUAUUUCUGACUGAGGACAUAAAAUGUGUUGUGACCUCUCAGGUAAUGCUGUGGUAUCAUGUCCAAGCAGUAACUAACCAGAGUGGAGUUUUUACAGGUAAAAAAGUAUUGAAUAGCUCAGCAACAGGGAGGAUUUAAUGAUAAAUUGCUUUUUCAGAAAAUGACAAGGGGACAGACACUUGCGGUUCUUCCAUUGAGAGCCUUAAGGAAGUUAAGCGAAGCCUCUGCUCACCCCUUCAAGUAACGAUGACCCAUCAGAUUGUGGUCAUAACCAGUAGCAUCUGAGGCACCCCUAAGCUCUCUGGGCCCCAGAUUCCUUGUUAAGUUAAAUGAGGUGACUUCCCAGUUUACCAUUCUAGGGGUUCCUGAGGAGUUAAAAAUGAAGGAGAAAAUGCAACAUGUACCAAGUGAGCAAGAGCUCAAGGCUUAUCUCUGGCACGAAAGUGACCGCUGUCCAUUAGAGAUGUGCUUGCCCUAAAUUUCCUUUAGGAAAUGCAAACAUUGAACUCUGACCUUCAGGACCCAAGCCCCGGCUUGCAUCUAUUCUAUACACUUUCUGUUAUUUGUUAGGGCUCACAAGGAACAGUUAUUUAUUUUUUAUUUUCUAUUUUUUUUUUAGAGAUGGAGUCUCACUCUGUCUCCCAGACUGGAGUGCAGUGGUGCCAUCUCAGCUCACUGCAACCUCCACCUCCCGGGUUCAAGCAAUUCUCCUGUCUCAGCCUCCUGAGUAGCUAGGACUACAGGCGUGUGCCAUCAUGCCCGGCUAAUUUUUAGUAUUUUUAGUAGAGGCAGGGUUUCACCAUAUUGGCCAGGCUGGUCUUGAACUCCUGAUCUCAAGUGAUCUACCCUCCUUGGCCUCCCAAACUGCUGGAAUUACAGAUGUGAGCGACCACACCCGGCCCAUUUGUUUUCUUUCAAACCCUUCUGUAAGACCAGUGCUUUAGGCGAACACGUGGACAGAACAAGUUCAUCACAUUUUGCAAUAUGAAGACCAACUGCACUGUGACCAGAAAAAACAGAGGCAAAAUGUUGAGCUUAAUGAUACCUUUUUAUAAUCUGUAUUUGGUGUUUCUCAAUUUUCCAUUGGAUAGUUUGAGAGAUAAGUACAAGUCAAUGACAUGUUCUCUUUUGUACCCUAUUGUCUAAUCCUGCUAACACACACACACACACACUGAUUACCUAAUUUAUCUGUUCCCUGAUUAUUACACUCUCAAUUGCUGCAGAGUCUCAGAAGCAGCAUGGUGUAACAGAAAGAAUAUGAGGCUUAGAAUCCAAAAGCCAGAGUGUGAAUUCCAGCUCCACUGACUUGCUGCGUGACUUGAAGCAAGUCAUUACGUGUCUCUGUUUACUCAUUUUACGACUUUCCUAUUGCCUCUGUAAUAUAGCACCACAAACGUGUGGACUUAAAACAACAUGCACUUAUUCUCUUAGCGUUCUGGAGGUCAGGAGUCUGACAUCAAUUUCGUUGGGCUAAAAUCAAGAUGUUGGUAGGACCAAGAUCCCCGUGGAGGCUCUGGGAGAACCCACUUCCUUGCCUUUGCCAGCUUCUAAUGCUGCAUUCCUUGCAUUCCUUGAUUGUUGACCUCUUCCCCCAUCUUCAAAGCCAGCAGAACAGCACCUUGUUUCAUGGCCUUCUUUACUGUCAAAUCUCCCUCUGCCUUCUUCUUAUAAGAACACUUGUGGUUGCAUUUAGAGGCUGUGAUAAUCCAGAAUAAUAUCUUUAUCUCAAGAUCUUUGACUUAGUCUCUUCUGCAAAGUCUCUUUUGCCACAGAGGGAAAUAUUCACAGGUCCCAGGGGUCAGGCUGUGUACAUCUUUGGGGGACUUUAUUCUGCCUACCACACUCAUCUUUUUUUUUUUUUGGGUGGAGUCUCGCUCUGUCACCCAGGCUGGAGUGCAGUGGCAUGAUCUCGGCUCACUGCAACUUCUGCCUCCCCAGUUCAAGCAAUUCUCCUGCCUCAACCUCCCAAGUAGCUGGAAUUACAGGCGCCUGCCACCACACCCGGCUACUUUUUGUACUUUUAGUAGAGAUGGGGUUUCACUAUGUUGGCCUGGCUGGUCUUGAACUCCUGACCUCAGAUGAUUCCCCCACCUUGGCCUCCCAAAGUGCUGAGAUUACAGACGUGAGCCACCAUGCCCGGCCCCACACUCAUCUAUUAAGUAGAGCUAGGAAUUCCUAUCCUAAGGGACACAAAAACGAAAAAAGAUAAAAUUUGUGAAGAGGCACAUAAUGAAAGCCCAUACAUGUCACUGAGUUCAGAGGAGGGUGGGUCUGACCUCCCAUUGACUGGUCUCUGCCUGAUGGACAUCGUGAAGAAGAGAGCCAGGACUAGUGUGACUGGGGGAUGUUCAGGGGACAGAGUGGCUUCAGGUGCCAGCAGCCCUGGCCGAAGGAUGACUCCAGGAGCAAGGCUCAGAGCCGAGUGGAAGAAGCUUCAAUAAACACAACUGAGCCAAGCAUGAUGGGAUGUGCCUGUGGUUCCAGCUACUCAGGAGGCAGGUGGGAGGAUGGCUUGAGUCAGAAGUUCGAGGCUGCAGUGAGCUAUGAUCACACUACUGUACUCCAGCCUGGGUGACAGAAUGACACCCUGUCUCUAAAAAGAAAAGGCACCUGGAUGCUCAUGACCGAGAUGGGGUGGGGUGGGUGGGGUGGGACAGCCGCACUUUAUAACUUUGCUUUCAGCAUGAUGUGGAUUAGUGUCUCCCAUGUGGGAAAAUUAUGUUUACCACUUAGAGAGCUGAUAGUGCUUGGUUACCCCAUAACGCUGGACGGUGGCAGGCUUAACUCCCCCAUCAAGGGCCUUAAUGUAUUUGGGGCCCUAGUCCUAGCAACAGCAGCAAAUCUCCUUUUUCUUUUCCUCGAGCUGGUUGUUCACCAGGCAGUUGGGAUGUUAAUGGGAAGAGAAGACACACACAAGUCCCUUGUUUUCAAUAAGGCAGUCUGGUCACGUCCUUAGCAGGUUAUUAAUCUUUUUCAAACCCCUCCUCUCCACCAAGUUUUAUGAUCCUGGGAAGGAGAUUCCUACCUAGCAUCCCUAGAGUUAUCGGGGGUUAGGAUCGGUGCAUGCAGCCACUUCCCUGGAAUCAUCAGUAGCCCUCCAGCCUCUGGGGGAGAGCUGCCAGUGGUCAGAGAUGUUGGGAAUUACGAGGGAGGAGCUAGGGAGAAGGAACUCACAGUCCCUCAGUCUCUGAAGGUGGCUCCUGGCAGGAGAAGCCAGGAGAGGGGGCCAAUCCUAGAUAAGAGCUCUCCCAGGGAAUUCCAAGGGUCCCCCCAAGGUCCAGUCACAAGAUGAGGAAUUACUGUUGGGCUCUUCCUCAGAUGUGCCUGUGAAUUCAUAUCACAGAUGCUUGAUGCAUUUGACAAUUGUUUAAUUGCUUGAGCCCAACUGAUACUCUUUCAGUCACUUUAAGGGAGUGAUUUCAAGUAUGAUCAUUGCCUCAAAUCUGUAUGGCUUUCCUUGCCUUUCAGGUGCUUUAAGAGGACUUAUGUUCUUUGACUCCCCUAGUAACUCAAAAGGGUGGCUAAGAUGCAACUCUGGAGGUUUCCAAGCUCUCUGCAAAGCCUGCCUUCAGUAGUCUGUGUACCACAAGAAGCAUAACUUUAUUAUCCUCUAGCUGAAUUUACCUCCUGCUUCGAGCCCCUGUUUUCCCAUGUCAUUUUAGGGGUCCAAUGUUUUCCCUGGAGGCAUAUAUACAUAUAUAUAUAUAUAUACACACACACAUACAUAUAUAUAUACACACACAUACAUAUAUAUAUACACAUACAUAUAUAUAUAUAUACACACACACACACAUACACAUACAUAUAUAUAUAUACGCACAUUCCAGGGGCCUCUGAGGUGCCAAGACAUGUGUGGGGUCCAUCUGGUUCACACUGAUGUCCAUGAUUAUUGAGUUCCUUUUUUAUGUCAACUAUGUGACACUACCUAUAGUUUCCAGUUCCUGGUUAGAAUUUGCAAAGUUGUCGACUAUUUCUUUGAAUAGAGUAGCUAGAUCAUGGGUCUACACCAGUCAUCAAGCAGCGAUUUCCCUGUUGGAAGCUCCAAGCAAAUUGUCAGCUCCCGCAUUCCACACAGCUGUGGGUGCCACACUCCUUUUCCUUUUAAAAGAUGAUGAUCUGCUAGUGGUGAAUGCUCUUGGAGUUUUAUUUGUAGGUUUUUCUUGUUGUCGCAAAUGUCUAUAUUUCAUCUUCACUCUUGAGGGAUAUUUUCCAUGGGUAGAGGAUCUAGGCUUUUCUUUUGGAUUCCAUUGUGGCUUUUAAAAAAGUCAGUUGACUGUUUAUUUAUGGCUUCUCUAAAGGUGAUCUCUUUCUUCCUAAGGCUGUUUUAAAAGUUUUCGUUCCCUCCCUCCCUUCCUCCCACCCCAUCCCCCUUCUUCCUUUCCUUCCUCCCUCCCUUCCUCCCACCCCAUCCCCCUUCUUGCUUUCCUUCCUCCGUCCCUUCCUCCCUUCUCUUCCUCCCUUUCUCCCUUCUCUUCCUCCUUUUCUCCCAUCCUCCCUUCCUCCCUCUUUCCUUCUUUCCCGCCCUCCUUCCUUCUUCCAUCAUUAUAUAUUAAAAUAUUUUCUUUCUUUCCUUUUUUUUUUGAGAUGGAGUUUCGCUCUUGUUACCCAGGCUGGAGUGCAAUGGUGUGAUCUUGGCUCACUGCAACCUCCACCUCCCUGGUUGAAGCGAUUCACCUGCCUCAGCCUCCCUAGUAGCUGGGAAUACAGGUGCCUGCCACCACACCCAGCUAAUUUUUGCAAUUUUAGUAGAGAUGGGGUUUCACCAUGUGGGCCAGGCUGGUCUUGAACUCCUGAACUCAGGUAAUCCACCUUCCUUGGCCUCCCAAAGUGCUGGAAUUACAGGCAUGAGCCACCACUCCCAGCCUUUUAAAAUAUUUUCUUCUGGGCCUUCCCUCCUUUUACUUCUUUUGAUACCGCCAUCAAAUGCAUGUUAGGUUGACUCACUGUGUACUCUAUUACCCUCUCAUCUGGUUUUUAAUCUUUCUGUCUCCUUAUACUGUAAUCUCAGUGUUUCUUCUGCUUUAAUUUUGGUAUAUGAAUUAUUCAGCUGUGUUCAAAGUGUGGUUAAAGCGACUUAUAUGCUCUUUAAUUUUUAGUUAUUGUACUUUUCACCUCUAGAAGUUCUUCUGAGUUCCUUUUUUAUAUCAACUAUGUGACACUUCUUAUAGUUUCCAGUUCCUGGUUAGAAUUUGCAAACUUGUUGACUAUUUCUUUGAAAAGAGUAGCUAGAAUUGUUUUAGUCUGUGUAUAGUGAGUUGAAUAUCUGAAACCUCUGUGAGUCUGUUUCUUUUGUCUGCUAGCCCUACUCAUGGCGUCGUGUUUUCCUGGAUGUUUAGUUGGUUGUCUUUGAAUAUGUCCAACUCCAGUUAUUUCUGGGAAUACCCAAAGGCACACCUGUUCACUAUCACCCAGUGAAUUGCCAUGUGUUUGUCUCCUGUCAUGGUAACAUUUGCAUUCAGGGAGAGGCCUCUGCUAUCUGCAGAACUGUGUGAAAUCACCUCAUUUUUGCCUUCAAUGAAGGUUGUCUCUUGCUGGUCACCACCACUUCCUCAAAUGACUAAUGCCACUCUUGCUCACAGUGCUAAGGCGCUAAGGAGUUUUCAGAGGGCUAGAGUGAUUCUGCAUCCUCUGGGGUUCUCAGGAAACGAGGCCACAGGGCCAUCUGUGCAUGAGUGACAGUGGGGUGGGGUGGAUGAGCAGUGGCAGUGGUGGGCACCUAUGCUGCUGGCGCCACAGCUUUUUAUAUCUUGGUGAAAACAACGCCUUGCGUUUUCACUUGUAGAUUCUCCGGCUACAUUCCACAAGAACAAAUUCUGGUCACAGAGGCCAGAGUAGACUAUCAGUAUAAUGGCCCUUCCCCUUUGAUGAUAGCAGCUUUUUUCAGGGGAGCAGGGGUGGCCAAACUUCUUAGCCUUAUUUUAUCUUCCUUUCUAGUUCUCCCCAGAGGCUGCUGGGUUCACCUCUCCCUCUGCCAGACAGGCAGGCUCAGACAUGCAAGAACGGAAGGGGGUGUGGGGGUUGGUGGGAGGAUUAAGUUGGGGAAAGCCAGUCUUGUCUUUGCAGAUUACCAGAACUGACACACGUACACACACGUACACUCACUCACUCACUCACUCAUCUAUUCAUCUAUUUUUGGCCUAAGUGCCUUUGGACACUUCUUCGGAAAAGCACACGAACUCUUUGGAGUCUCCUGUUCCACUUGGUAAAUUUCCUAUAGCCACGCACUGAAAGUCCCUGCUGCCCUCCUUCCUCUGAGCUUGUGGGGCCCACAGAUCCCCUGCUCCACUUCCUGCUUCAUUUCAGCUGCUGGUGAGUCCGGGGCAGGCUUGUAGGAAGGGCGGGCUAGGCGUGGGGAACUGCAGCACCCACCCCACCCCCCGCCCCAGUGCUUGUUGCCCCAGCCUCUGUCUCCCUCGCUGUGCCCUUCCCUUAAGCCCCACUCUUGGCCUCCCCAAAGAAAGAGUUUGUUCUGUUUUUAUUGAUAGGAUGACACUCCCUCGUUCUAAUACCAUCUGAAUGCCUGAGCAAUUACAUCUUACAACCUCAUGAAAAACACAGCAGCUUGUCAUGAUGAAUGAUGUUACCGUGAAUAAUGCAGUUUUGAGUUCAAACUCCUUCUUAUUCCAAGAAUGAGUAAAUAUCCCUAUUCCCUCCUCUCCCCAUUGCAUUUGGGUUUGACAUGACAUGAAUCAUUGUGGUUUUACUCCUGGGUAGAAUUGUUUUUCUGUAUUGCAUUGCCAAUUGAUGGAAGGACAGAAAAAGGAACCUUACCAAUGAGCAGUUUCAGAUGAACUUAAAUUCUCAGAAAUCUUGAAGAAUGAAUGAACUAUAACUUUUUGAAGUUGCAAAAAUGUUCAAGUCGGAAGUGACCCAUGGGAAGCAACCUGGUCCUUAAUUAGGACUGGAAAGAAAACGGAGGCCCAGUGAGGGAACAGUGGCUUCCUCAAGGUCACACUGCAAGUGAGUGGUGGCACUAGUCACCCAGGAGUCCACCUGACUCCAUGGUAUCCUGACCCCAGACCAGCAGCCUUAUUUGUGGUUAAAGAACGUGGAAAAACAGCUUAUGUUUGAAUUUUAAAAUCAUGCCAGUACUAAAGAUCUGCAUUCCGUGAAUAUUGAGCUUUGCUGUGUGCGGGUUGCUACGAAUUUUGUAACUAUUUUCUCUAAGAGCUCUCAGUAUUUUACAUAUACAAUUCCAUUCUUUAUUGUCCAGGGAAAAAGUUGCAUUUACUGAGCAGUAAGAGGGUGAUUUGAAGUCCCUGGGGUCCCCCACCCUUGUCUUUCUAUGUGAGAUUGUAUUGCAGGGCUCACAUUUAUUCUCUCAGCAGCUCAUUGCACAGACAGUGUAUUUAUUGAGCAUCUACUGUGUGCCAGGAGCUAUGUGGUAAGCUAAGCAGACAAAAACUCCUGCUCUCACAAGAAGAAAGAAUAAACAAGCAGACAAUUGCA
rnacentral:antisense_RNA from 1 species